rnacentral:misc_RNA from 1 species
GAUGAAGAACGUAUCGAAAUGCGAUAAGUAGUGUGAAUUGCAGAAUUCAGUGAAUCAUCGAAUCUUUGAACGCACAUUGCGCCCCUUGGUAUUCCAUGGGGCAUGCCUGUUCGAGCGUCAUUUGUACCCUCAAGCUUUGCUUGGUGUUGGGUGUUUGUCCCGCGUUGCGCGUGGACUCGCCUUAAAGCGAUUGGCAGCCGGCAUAUUGGCCUUGGAGCGCAGCACAUUUUGCGCUUCUAGUCAUGAAUGUUGGCGUCCAUUAAGCCUAUACAUUUGCUCUUGACCUCGGAUCAGGUAGGGAUACCCGCUGAACUUAAGCAUAUCAAUAAGCGGAGGA